rnacentral:rRNA from 1 species
GACGAACGCUGGCGGCGUGCCUAACACAUGCAAGUCGAGCGAAUGAAGUUCCUUCGGGGACGGAUUUAGCGGCGGACGGGUGAGUAACACGUGGGCAACCUGCCUCAUAGAGGGGAAUAGCCUUCCGAAAGGGAGAUUAAUACCGCAUAAGAUUGUAGUACCGCAUGGUACAGCAAUUAAAGGAGCAAUCCGCUAUGAGAUGGGCCCGCGGCGCAUUAGCUAGUUGGUGGGGUAACGGCUCACCAAGGCGACGAUGCGUAGCCGACCUGAGAGGGUGAUCGGCCACAUUGGGACUGAGACACGGCCCAGACUCCUACGGGAGGCAGCAGUGGGGAAUAUUGCACAAUGGGGGAAACCCUGAUGCAGCAACGCCGCGUGAGUGAUGACGGCCUUCGGGUUGUAAAGCUCUGUCUUCAGGGACGAUAAUGACGGUACCUGAGGAGGAAGCCACGGCUAACUACGUGCCAGCCGCCGCGGUAA